rnacentral:tRNA from 1 species
UGGCUCAGUGGUGGAGUGCUUGCCUUGCAUGCAUGAGGCCCUGGGUUCGAUUUCUCAG